UUGCAGUUAAAAAGCUCGUAGUUGGAUUUCUGUGGGGACGGAGCGGCCGGCCGCUACUAGCGGUUCGAGCUAGCGCUUUCCCUACAUCCUGCCGCGAACCGUGCUACCAUUAGUUUGGUGGCGCCGGGGAUCGGCUCGUUUACUUUGAGAAAAAUAGAGUGUUCAAAGCAGGCCACACGCCUUGAAUAAGUUAGCAUGGAAUAAUAACUAAGGACUUCGGUUCUAUUUUUGUUGGUGUUCGGGACUGAAGUAAUGAUUGAUAGGGACAGUUGGGGCGGUCCGUAU
rnacentral:rRNA from 1 species